UCCCUCUUAGGACUGCACCUGCAGACUUUCCAGUACUCUACCAGUCUUGACUGUGGGAGGGAGAGUCAAGCAGAAGCAUACCCAUUCCAUUCCUAGCUUGACCAGUGGCUAGCAAGUGGAAGAAACUCUGCUACAAGU